rnacentral:sRNA from 1 species
GACACUUACUGGGUGGGCAGAGCAACAUUGUUUUGACAGUGAAAAUUACCAAUUUAUAAAUUUUUAAGAAAAGCAUGCCUAGCACAGACCACCUGGUUACCAAGAGGAAGCUGAAGAGGAGAUUCUGCUAGAGGUUUCUUGAGUACAGGCGAUCAGGCUGCAAAAGGGAACUAUGGACUCCUUGAUCUCAUACAAGCUUUAAGAUGGACUAGUGAAAACAUUGGAUUCUUUGGUGGUGACCCCUUAAGAAUCACUGUUUUUGGAUCUGGUGCUGGGGGUUCAUGUGUCAACCUGCUGACUUUAUCCCAUUAUUCUGAAGGACUUUUUCAACGAGCAAUAGCUCAAAGUGGAACAGCCCUUUCCAGCUGGGCUGUUAGUUUUCAACCUGCAAAAUAUGCUAGAAUGUUGGCCACAAAAGUUGGUUGCAAUGUUUCAGAUACAGUAGAGUUAGUGGAAUGCCUACAGAAGAAGCCUUACAAAGAACUUGUUGACCAAGAUAUUCAACCAGCUCGAUACCACAUAGCCUUUGGACCUGUGAUUGAUGGUGAUGU